GUAGGUGGCAAGCGUUGUCCGGAAUUAUUGGGCGUAAAGCGCGCGCAGGCGGUUCUUUAAGUCUGAUGUGAAAGCCCACGGCUCAACCGUGGAGGGUCAUUGGAAACUGGAGAACUUGAGUACAGAAGAGGAAAGCGGAAUUCCACGUGUAGCGGUGAAAUGCGUAGAGAUGUGGAGGAACACCAGUGGCGAAGGCGGCUUUCUGGUCUGUAACUGACGCUGAGGCGCGAAAGCGUGGGGAGCAAACAGGAUUAGAUACCCUGGUAGUCCACGCCGUAAACGAUGAGUGCUAAGUGUUAGGGGGUUUCCGCCCCCCUUAGUGCUGCAGCUAACGCAUUAAGCACUCCGCCUGGGAGUACGGCCGCAAGGCUGA
rnacentral:rRNA from 1 species